rnacentral:lncRNA from 1 species
GAACUUUUCUGAUCCCUCCAAUCAGGAAACAUUUUCCUGUUUUUGUUUUUUACUGUUUCUGUUUUGUUUUGUAUUAAUUUACAAAGGACUUUGAAUGUUGGUUGUAAAAUUUAUCUUAACCCAACCAGUGUGAUUUACAGUGAUUAGAUGAGUCACUCCCACAAGAUUAUGCUUUGACUUCUGAAAUAAAUUAUUUUCCAAAUUAUAGUUCUUUUACAUAAAAUUUAUCAAUCCUCUGAAAUUAAUAGAGAAUUAAAUUCCAUUUAGUAAAAGUUGAUAACAUAGAAAAUUAAUGUUUUCCUAAGACUUAACUCUAGCAGAAAUUUUCUUACUCUUAAGGUGAACAAAAUAAUGAUAGGAUUAUUGUGAAGUUAAAAAAGAAAAAAGUUAAAUAAAAUACCUGACACUAGAUACUUGGCC